GAACGCUGGCGGCGUGCUUAACACAUGCAAGUCGAACGAACCUUCGGGUUAGUGGCGGACGGGUGAGUAACGCGUGAGAAUCUGCCCUCAGGAGGGGGAUAACGGUUGGAAACGACCGCUAAUACCCCAUAUGCCGAGAGGUGAAAAGAAAUUCGCCUGAGGAUGAGCUCGCGUCUGAUUAGCUAGUUGUUUUUGUAAUGGCGCAGCAAGACUUCGAUCAGUAGCUGGUCUGAGAGGAUGAUCAGCCAC
rnacentral:rRNA from 1 species